ACGGCUCAGUAACACGUGGCUAACCUGCCCUUGGGACAGGGAUAACCCCGGGAAACUGGGGCUAAUACUUGAUAGGUGAGAACUCCUGGAAUGGAUUCUCGCUGAAAGGGCGUCUAGAUCAUGCUUUUAGGCGUCGCCCAAGGAGGGGGCCGCGGCCGAUCAGGUUGUUGGUGAGGUAACGGCCCACCAAGCCUUUAACCGGUACGGGCCGUGAGAGCGGUAGCCCGGAGAUGGGUACUGAGACAAGGGCCCAGGCCCUACGGGGCGCAGCAGUCGCGAAAACUCACCAAUUCACGAAAGUGUGAGUGGGCCAUCCCGAGUGCCGUCCGCUGAGGAUGGCUUUUCCUUAGUGUACAAAGCUGGGGGAAUAAGGAGAGGGCAAGUCUGGUGUCAGCCGCCGCGGUAAUACCAGCUCUCCGAGUGGUGGGGAUGUUUAUUGGGCCUAAAGCAUUCGUAGCCUGCUGGGCAAGUCCUCCGUUAAAUCCAACGAUUCAAUCGUUGGGCCGCGGGGGAUACUGUUCGGCUAGGGGGCGGAAGAGGUCGACGGUAUUCUCGGGGUAGGGGUGAAAUCCUACAAUCCCGGGAGGACCACCAGUGGCGAAGGCUGUCGGCUAGAACGCGCCCGACGGUGAGGGAUGAAAGCUGGGGGAGCGAACCGGAUUAGAUACCCGGGUAGUCCCAGCUGUAAACGAUGCAGGCUAGGUGUUGGCGCGGCUACGUGCCGCUCCAGUGCCGCAGGGAAGCCGUUAAGCCUGCCGCCUGGGAAGUACGGCAGCAAGGCUGAAACUUAAAGGAAUUGGCGGGGGAGCACCACAAGGGGUGAAGCUUGCGGUUUAAUUGGAUUCAACGCCGG
rnacentral:rRNA from 1 species